GGUUCGAUGGCGUAGUUGGUUAUCGCAUCUGUCUAACAUAGGAUACCAUUUUUCCUGUCCCCACAGAAGGUCCUCAGUUCGAGCCUGGGUCGAAUCA